rnacentral:rRNA from 1 species
GAUAAACGCUGGCGGCGCGCAUAAGACAUGCAAGUCGAACGGAAGUCGUUAUAAAAAGGAUUGAAGAUUUAUCUGAUUGAGAUUUUAUAACAAUGGCUUUAGUGGCGGACUGGUGAGUAACGCGUGAGUAACCUGCCUAUCAGAGGGGAAUAACAGUGAGAAAUCAUUGCUAAUACCGCAUAUGCCAUAAACAUCACAUGAUGAAAGUGGGAAAGGAGCAAUCCGCUGAUAGAUGGGCUCGCGUCUGAUUAGAUAGUUGGUGGGGUAACGGCCUACCAAGUCGACGAUCAGUAGCCGGACUGAGAGGUUGAACGGCCACAUUGGGACUGAGAUACGGCCCAGACUCCUACGGGAGGCAGCAGUCGGGAAUAUUGCGCAAUGGAGGAAACUCUGACGCAGUGACGCCGCGUAUAGGAAGAAGGUUUUCGGAUUGUAAACUAUUGUCGUUAGGGAAGAUAAAAGACAGUACCUAAGGAGGAAGCUCCGGCUAACUACGUGCCAGCAGCCGCGGUAAUACGUAGGGAGCAAGCGUUAUCCGGAUUUAUUGGGUGUAAAGGGUGCGUAGACGGGAAAUUAAGUUAGUUGUGAAAUCCCUCGGCUCAACUGAGGAACUGCAACUAAAACUGAUUUUCUUGAGUGUUGGAGAGGAAAGUGGAAUUCCUAGUGUAGCGGUGAAAUGCGUAGAUAUUAGGAGGAACACCAGUGGCGAAGGCGACUUUCUAGACAAUAACUGACGUUGAGGCACGAAAGUGUGGGGAGCAAACAGGAUUAGAUACCCUGGUAGUCCACACCGUAAACGAUGGAUACUAGGUGUAGGAAGCGAUUAUGUUUUCUGUGCCGUCGCAAACGCAGUAAGUAUCCCACCUGAGGAGUACGGCCGCAAGGUUGAAACUCAAAGGAAUUGACGGGGGCCCGCACAAGCAGUGGAGUAUGUGGUUUAAUUCGAAGCAACGCGAAGAACCUUACCAGGGCUUGACAUAUACAGGAAUAUGUUAGAGAUAGCAUAGCUCUUCGGAGUCUGUAUACAGGUGGUGCAUGGUUGUCGUCAGCUCGUGUCGUGAGAUGUUGGGUUAAGUCCCGCAACGAGCGCAACCCCUGUUUCUAGUUGCCAGCACGUAAAGGUGGGAACUCUAGAGAGACUGCCGGUGAUAAAUCGGAGGAAGGUGGGGACGACGUCAAAUCAUCAUGCCCUAUAUGUCCUGGGCUACACACGUACUACAAUGGCUGUAACAGAGGGAAGCAACAUAGAGAUGUGAAGCAAAUCCCAAAAAGCAGUCUCAGUUCGGAUUGAAGGCUGAAAUUCGCCUUCAUGAAGCCGGAAUUGCUAGUAAUGGCAGGUCAGCAUACUGCCGUGAAUACGUUCCCGGGCCU